GGUCCCCAACACUUCCGGCUGCAGUGUUGUUACCAUGACCUAUAGAAGCACAUGUCCCAGUGGACUAUCCUCUGACAAGGCUACUCUGCCCUUCAAGCUCAUGGGAUGACUGCCCUGACUCCAUCCAGGAGACCUGGCCUUAGAAGUUACUACUAUCACGGAGGUGAUGGUAAGGCCAGGAGGACCAUGACAGUGGGAGGCUGCAUGUGAAAAUGAAGGGUGGCCCAGCAUUACCUGGAAGCUACAUGGUUUAACCCCUGAGUCCCUCUUCAGACCUUCAUUCUAUGCUGGUGUCCUCCUAGUCGCAACUCUGUCACCAGAAGACAGCAAUGUCUUCCCAGAAUCCCUCAGCCUUGCUUCUCAGUCUUGAGACUUGAAGAGCCUAGAGGAGGCCUCUACAGAUUAGUCAGUGGGUGGCCCCUGAUGUCUGCCAUUUCAUUUCCUUGGGAUUGUGUUCUGUAUGUGCACUGUCUGAUACAGCUUGGCUCUCAGUACUUACCAUGCUGCCUGUUCAUCAUGCCCUGGACUGUGCCUGCCCCUGUUCCCCUGUAGCAUCAUGGAAGCCAUCGCUCCCUUCAGAGGCCUGACUUCAUUCUUACCGGCAAGGAUUUAGGGUGAAGAUUGGCUCUGAGAGGUGACCCCAGCUUCCAUCCUGUCUCUAUACAUUCAUGUGAUCUGUCCUUUAGUCAGUUGCCAUUCACUAUGCACAGUGAUGUGCAAGGCCCUCGCUAGGGGCUGGAUCCCAGGAUCACUAUUGUGGUGGACAAGCUGUGCCCAAGGAGCUGACACUCGGGCAGGGUCCAAGGCACUCGGGAAGACAAAGGUGGUGAGGUGAUGGGAAAGUCAGAAGACGAGGAGGGCAUCUUGAUAGGAGGACAAUGUUGGAAUCCCAGAAAAAAGAAGCCAAGUUCCUCCAUGGGGCUCCACCAUUCUUCUCAUAUAUAUGCAUGUUGACUUUCUAAGCAGAUGCCUCCAGUUAUGAUUCUGACCAUCAGUAAGCACUUAAUGGUCAUGAGGCUUCCCUGACAGGAACAAAACAGGACUGAGCCAAAAUCUCAUUUCUGUGCUCCAAAGUCCUUCCCUGUUUGUGGUUGCUGAGGACGGUCUGAAGAGAAAAGACGGGAGCCUGCUGUGUCAGUGAAUGCCCAACCUCUGGAACUCUGUGAGUUGGAACUGUAGUUGCUGCUAAUGCUGCUGCCUCUGAGGCAAAAAUCUAGUUCAGCUUGUGAGAAGAUGAGCUUUCCAUCCUCCAACCUGAACUUUCUGUCUCAGAGCAGACGGUGUGUACACUUGAAAGGAAAGACCAGGUAAGGAACAUGGUGAGGUCCCAGGUGGCUCUCACCGUGUGCUUCUUCUCAACCCACGAACCCAAGUUCCUUCAGUCCCAUCUCAAUAUUACUCAUAGUUCUAAGAUGAAUAGCGUCCUGGAGGGCUGAUAGGACUAACAGAUCCCUGGGUGGCAUGUCCCCUGCACAGACUCUUCAGGAUCUCCUGUGAGGGCCUGUCCCUCUUCAUUCAUUACCCAUCCUGUGGUGUGAAUCCCUGAACACGCUGACACUCACUGCUCAGUGUGCACACCUGCCCGCCACUUCCAGGAAGUUCUCCCGCUGUUGGAUUCUGGGUUCCAGCCUCCUUUUCUAUAGAACGUGUUUAGUGUAGUCAAAAAGGAACCUGACUAAAACAGUGUUUUGAGUAGCUAGACUUCCAUGAUGCCUAGAGGCAGCAUGAGGUGGGGUCCCUGGGAACACUUAGCUUUGUCUCUCUCAGUAAGCUACACUUUCGACAGGCAUCAGCUGAUCACAGGGAAGAAAGACACUUACUGUGCUCCCAUCUUCAGUGAGCAAGUCUUCUCUGAAUGGCAUUUCCCUAGUAUCAGCAUGCUUCUCCAGGAACAGGGCAAUAUCCUAUGAUGUUCUACCAUCCAUGCACUCUCUCUGCUGUCCUCUGUGUCUGCACACUUAACUCCUGUGACUCUCUUUGUGAGGAGCUCAUCCUCUGGUCUGUUCACACUUCUUCUCUGCAGAAUCUCAGUAGUGUCAGGUCAGGAAGCUAUGGGCUGGAUCAUGACCAAGGUACUGGGGACUCUGUCCUUCUCAUCCCAUGGUAUCCCAUCCUCUCAUGUCUUCCUUGCAGAUCCUGGUGCUUUCCCACAAGAUGCUGCUGGAUAUGGCCCCGUGGCAGGCCAAGAGCCUCUGUCUGCCAGACAGGAGACACCGUCACUGAGUCCAGCAAGCUCACGUGCAUCAUCACAAGCAGAUGUUGGAUGGAGGUCUGGGAAACACAGUGUGGACACGUGUGAUUUAGGUCCUCCAUUUCAGUGCCUAGACCUAGAAUUCCUCUGCACGUUGGGGCUUGGAAAAUGGCCACGUGCAGAGGGGCUGGCAGUUCAGGGAGCAGGGACAAAUCUGCACGGUCCUACCUCCCAGAAGAUGAGGCGAGGCGUUGCGGUUAGCAUGACUCGUGACAUGAAGCACUCAGAGGUUCACCACGAAUCUGAAAGUCAAGACACCGACCUCCAUUAAUAUUGUCUUCCUUAGCCUUCCCUUAGAGACAAAACUGAAAGUCACCGUGGACCUUAUCUUUAACAUGCUGAAAAUGGAACAUCCUUGUGGCCAUGACAUCUCUGGACUCUCAUAAGCCCAUCCUGGUGGAGGGUAGAGCUCUGUCAGUCAUGGGAGCAGUGCGUCUCUGCAGGUCAAGAUGAGUGGAUUCGUGGAAACUUUUAUCAAAAUGUGUUAAUGAUCUCAAGCAUUUGACUGUUAACUAUGGAGGAAGAACCAUUGGCCAUCAUCCUCACCCGUGGAUGUGUCUAUAUGUCCGUCCCAGCCCUUGAGCUGUCAAGUCUCCAGGGGAAAACUUCGUAGGGGAAGGUGCAGGAUCUACGUGUGGGUCUCUUUGCUUGCCUUCAGUACACGGAUAACACAGGUGAUGCUUCCUCU
rnacentral:sRNA from 1 species